GGGAGGCAUAUAUAACCCUUGGGCUGUGCGCAAAAGGCAUCAGUCUUGGACGAAACAGCGCCGUGCAACUUUCAACUCAGAUCGCAGCAAUGAAGAUCGUUCUGCUCAUGGCGUGCCUGGUGGCGGCGGCGGCGGCCGCCCCCCAGUUCCUUGGAUUUGGACGUGCCACCGGCAACUCGGGCGCCUUCAGCACCCAAGGGCAGUCCCGUGGACCAUUUGGAACAAGCCAGAUCCAAAACAGCAGAGCCUUCGCCCAAGGCUCCGCGUUCAAUGGUGGAUCGUCUUUCAACCGCGCCAACAGCAACGCGUUCCAGAGCACAGGGCCGUUCGGAGGCCGUCAGUCUGCCUUUAACCAGGCCACCAGCAAUCAGUUCGGUGGUGGAGGUUUCUUCAGGUGAUUUCUUCCCGUGAAGAGGAUGUAACAACGACGACGACAUUUCCAUAACGACCUAGCCUGUUGGUGUUAGCACCAUUGCACUGCUAUAGCGCAAACGAACGACGGUUCGGUACUUAAUGCGAUUUCAAUGUGCCACCCAGCAAGUACUAUGCUUUUAUGUUAUGACGCACAAAUAAUAUACAAUAAAUAAACGUUUGUUGGACAUAGUAGUGUGCAUUGAAAUACAAGCAGCUUGAGCUGG